rnacentral:rRNA from 1 species
CACGUAGGGUGCGAGCGUUGUCCGGAAUUAUUGGGCGUAAAGAGCUCGUAGGCGGUUUGUCGCGUCUGCUGUGAAAACUCGGGGCUUAACUCCGGGCCUGCAGUGGGUACGGGCAGACUAGAGUGCGGUAGGGGAGACUGGAAUUCCUGGUGUAGCGGUGAAAUGCGCAGAUAUCGGGAGGAACACCGAUGGCGAAGGCAGUACUCUGGGCCGGUACUGACGCUGAGGAGCGAAAGCGUGGGGAGCGAACAGG